rnacentral:rRNA from 1 species
GACAGAGGGUGCAAACGUUGUUCGGAAUUACUGGGCGUAAAGCGUGCGCAGGCGGUUCGUUGUGUCGGCGGUGAAAUCCCCGGGCUCAACCUGGGAAUGGCCGUUGAAACUGGCGAACUGGAGUGUGGCAGAGGGGGGUGGAAUUCCGCGUGUAGCAGUGAAAUGCGUAGAGAUGCGGAGGAACACCGAUGGCGAAGGCAGCCCCCUGGGCUGACACUGACGCUCAGGCACGAAAGCGUGGGGAGCAAACAGG